rnacentral:rRNA from 1 species
AGAACGAACGCUGGCGGCAUGCCUAAUACAUGCAAGUCGAACGAACACUUCGGCGUUAGUGGCGCACGGGUGCGUAACGCGUGGGAAUCUGCCCUUGGGUUCGGAAUAACAGUUGGAAACGACUGCUAAUACCGGAUGAUAUCGAAAGAUCAAAGAUUUAUCGCCCAGGGAUGAGCCCGCGUAGGAUUAGCUAGUUGGUGAGGUAAAGGCUCACCAAGGCGACGAUCCUUAGCUGGUCUGAGAGGAUGAUCAGCCACACUGGGACUGAGACACGGCCCAGACUCCUACGGGAGGCAGCAGUAGGGAAUAUUGGACAAUGGGCGAAAGCCUGAUCCAGCAAUGCCGCGUGAGUGAUGAAGGCCUUAGGGUUGUAAAGCUCUUUACCCGAGAUGAUAAUGACAGUAUCGGAGAAUAAGCCCCGCUAACUCCGUGCCAGCAGCCGC